AAAAAGAGUAGAUCUUUAAAGAGAAAACCCAGGGCUGGACUGCCAAAUAGGUGACAGAAAAGUGAUCCAAUUCUACCCCAUAGGGACUUAGGUCACACUCCUUCAUCUGGAGCCCAUAUAGAGCCUCAAAAUCCUUCUCUACCCACUCCUUUGGGCAACUUCUGCAAAACGCUCUGAAUCAGCCCCUGAGCUGAACCUUCUUUGCCAUCCCUGAAGACCAGUUCUGGGUUGGUGAUAUAUUACUGGUCAGCAGGGAGCCUCUUGAAGCAACAAAUCUCAUCUGCGACUCUGAGGACCUACGUAUGUGCUUCUGGGCAUGGCUGCAUUUCAUAGCCAUCGUCUUGGACACUGUGAUGAUGUUCACAAAGAUUGGGAAGCUUUUCCUGCAAAUCUUCACCCGGAUCUGGGAAAAUUCUGCUCUCUGCCUGAGGGAUGCAGAUGAGGACAGUCUUGCUCCUUUGUGUGGCUUUGGAGGGUGUACAGGAUACAGAGAGAACGUGACUUGAAGAAAUGACACUGUCUGUGAGUCCAGUUUAUUUGUGGACUCCUGAGGCUUGAGUAUAACCAGAGUAAAAUAAACGUAUAUAUGGAAACUGUAUCUGUGAAUUGCAU
rnacentral:lncRNA from 1 species